rnacentral:rRNA from 1 species
GUAGGUGGCAAGCGUUGUCCGGAAUUAUUGGGCGUAAAGCGCGCGCAGGUGGUUCUUUAAGUCUGAUGUGAAAGCCCCCGGGCUCAACCGGGGAGGGUCAUUGGAAACUGGGGAACUUGAGUGCAGGAGAGGAAAGUGGAAUUCCACGUGUAGCGGUGAAAUGCGUAGAUAUGUGGAGGAACACCAGUGGCGAAGGCGACUUUCUGGCCUGUAACUGACACUGAGGCGCGAAAGCGUGGGGAGCAAACAGGAUUAGAUACCCUGGUAGUCCACGCCGUAAACGAUGAGUGCUAAGUGUUGGGGGGUUUCCGCCCCUCAGUGCUGCAGCUAACGCAUUAAGCACUCCGUCUGGGGAGUACGGUCGCAAAGACUG